rnacentral:rRNA from 1 species
CCUACGGGAGGCAGCAGUAGGGAAUCUUCCACAAUGGGCGAAAGCCUGAUGGAGCAACGCCGCGUGGGUGAAGAAGGUCUUCGGAUCGUAAAACUCUGUUGUUAGAGAAGAAAGAGCGUGAGAGUAACUGUUCACGUUUCGACGGUAUCUAACCAGAAAGCCACGGCUAACUACGUGCCAGCAGCCGCGGUAAUACGUAGGUGGCAAGCGUUAUCCGGAUUUAUUGGGCGUAAAGGGAACGCAGGCGGUCUUUUAAGUCUGAUGUGAAAGCCUUCGGCUUAACCGGAGUAGUGCAUUGGAAACUGGGAGACUUGAGUGCAGAAGAGGAGAGUGGAACUCCAUGUGUAGCGGUGAAAUGCGUAGAUAUAUGGAAGAACACCAGUGGCGAAAGCGGCUCUCUGGUCUGUAACUGACGCUGAGGUUCGAAAGCGUGGGUAGCAAACAGGAUUAGAUACCCGAGUAGUC